rnacentral:rRNA from 1 species
UUUAUCGGAGAGUUUGAUCCUGGCUCAGGACGAACGCUGGCGGCGUGCCUAAUACAUGCAAGUCGAGCGGACAGAUGGGAGCUUGCUCCCUGAUGUUAGCGGCGGACGGGUGAGUAACACGUGGGUAACCUGCCUGUAAGACUGGGAUAACUCCGGGAAACCGGGGCUAAUACCGGAUGGUUGUUUGAACCGCAUGGUUCAAACAUAAAAGGUGGCUUCGGCUACCACUUACAGAU